UAUACUACGUACUCGACACUUUUCUGAAAUGGGUUAUUGGGUGCAACUCGUUCCUGUGCACUCGGAAUGUAUAGGUGAGCAGAUGUUGGCGAAGUAAUUCCAAUCGUGCUGGGGUAUCCGAGAUACUUAUAUCUAGAGUUCAGAUUACACCGCCAAGACUAUAAAUAAUUCUGCAUUGAAAUGGAUGUGUUUUUCUCAUCAGCUAUACUGUAUUUGAGCAUUCACACUACUUCUGCAUUUUUUCCCUUUUUCAAUUAUGAACUGCGUGGUUUCGUAGGAAAUGUGUAUCAUCUAAGCGCAAACGUAGCAGAUCGAAAUCUUAUUCAUGACAGUGCCCAAUGUUACAUAGCCGUGAAGGACAACACCUAUCAUAGAGGUCCGGUGGAGGAAAAAUUUAAUGAAAUGUAUCACGAAAGUAGCGCCUCUGAAAUUUGUGAAUACGCGGAGAGAGCGAAGUUUUCGAAUGAAGUAGUGUUCAUGUAUGCAAUUACCAGUCCAGGUCAUGACAAAGAUAAAAAAUUAAAUAACUAUGUAUUUGCUGUACGUCAAGCUACCAGGGCAACGUUUUACUCGGACAAACAGAUUUGGGUGUCCCCACCGACCAAAUUACCACCAGUGCCACAUGGAGACACGCCGGGAGGCCUCCCAGUAGUGAAAAAUGGAUGAGAUGAUCCAAAAAUUGAAAAAUCUAAAAAAUUAAUCCUCAUCCUUUACCAACACGAACGCAAACUUUGUUGGGGAAAAGUAAAGAUGUGAUAAAUAUUUUUUUUACACACUUGUAUGUAAUUAGGACCUCUGGUGUCGAAAUUUUGCUAAUAAAACGUGACAUGAUGUUGAAAA